AAUCACGCGUGCUUUCACGUCGACGUGCCUAUGUGGAGGUGAUAUUAUCCUCAUCAUCAUCAUGAGGACUCCCUAUCGUGACGUUACUCACUGUGUCUGUAUGCAGUGCUCCAUGGAGGGCAUGCUGCGAGCACAUGGAAAGGAGGUCGAGAUUUGUGUUUGAAAGGCACGCACCUAUCCGAAAUGGAAUAUAACUAAUAAUGCACAAAACGGAGUCAGGGAACGGGAUGGCUGUUUGACGACCCUGCCCUUUCUGCUAUACUCAGCUGUCAAUCAACCAGGAUCAGCAGAUCUCUAAUCAAGACAUGGACCUGGAUGCAAAGACUGAACAGGUGGAAACAGCACAAGGAGUUUGAUCAUGCUCAAUAAGUGAUUUUAUGUUGUAAUGUCUGUUCCUUAUAUUUUAUCAAUAGAGUCUGCUGUAUGAUAGGAAGCAAGCCAUAGAACAUGGUUUUAGAAUGACCACUUCUUCCCUUUUUAAGUGUAUCUAUGAAUAAAGACAAGUGAAAUAA